CAAGGCUUGACAUAACCGAGAACGCCGCAGAAAUGUGGAACUCUUUGGACACUCGGUUACAGGUGGUGCGUGGUUGUCGUCAGCUCGUGUCGUGAGAUGUUGGGUUAAGUCCCGCAACGAGCGCAACCCUCGUUCUAUGUUGCCAGCGCGUGAUGGCGGGGACUCAUAGGAGACUGCCGGGGUCAACUCGGAGGAAGGUGGGGACGACGUCAAAUCAUCAUGCCCCUUAUGCCUUGGGCUUCACGCAUGCUACAAUGGCCGGUACAAAGGGUUGCGAUACUGUGAGGUGGAGCUAAUCCCAAAAAGCCGGUCUCAGUUCGGAUUGGGGUCUGCAACUCGACCCCAUGAAGUCGGAGUCGCUAGUAAUCGCAGAUCAGCAACGCUGCGGUGAAUA
rnacentral:rRNA from 1 species